UUUUAAACCUGCUUGCCACCAAAAGCGUUCAUGCGGUGACGUGAAACGCCAAAUACCAGAGUCUCCCGUCUUGGAGUUUAUGGGCCAAUUUCUCCCAAGAUGAGUGAGCUUGUUGUGCUGCCGCCAGUGGACUCGCCAGAGGCCGGCCAGCCCGGAGUGACAGCGACUUGGUGUCUGGAAGCCCCACUGGGUUGUGAAAUGAACAAGGCCCUCCAUGCCCCCCCGGAUCAGACCCGUGUGAGCCCCGGGGGGCUCUGGGAGCGAGCAUCUCCCAGCUCCUAAAGAGCUGACAUAUAUCCUGCCUUUAAGACAAGACUACAAUUGCAAAUCCGAGAAUAUAAAUUACACUUUCAUCUUU